rnacentral:lncRNA from 1 species
CCAGCUCAUGAAAACUAGGGAUAGGCAUUCAAUUGGUUUGGUCUGAUAUAAAAAAAUCGAUAACUGAAUUAAUUGAUUUUUUCUUGAAAAAUAACUAAAUCGACAAAAAUAUUUUCAAUAAUCUAUCAUAACUGAAUCGAUUUAUAUUAAUUCAGUUUGAUCGAUCUGAUAAGUAACUGACUUUUCAUGACCAAAAGAAAACUUAUGCUUUGCGACAAGAAAAGGUUCUAGAAACCAAAUAUCUUUUUAUCAUUUUCACCGACCAUAUUUCAUUUUAUAUGAAAACUAAAAGGAUAUGCAAUGAAUUUGUAUUGUACCCAUAAAUUAUGGUAUUAAUCUAACUUGAAUGUGUCAGUCAUCGAUAAUUAUAUGCAAAUCAACCCAACAAAACAAAAGAAAUAUUAACCUAGAAGUAAUAUCCAAUGAAACAAAAUCCAUAUUUCUUCCCUUUCAACUAGCCUUUUUGGUUUUUUCCAUCACCAUCAAAACCACCAUGUUUCCUUUAGACAAGACCCAUCACGAUGAUCUCCUCCACCUAUUUUCCGAGCUUGGACCCCUCAUUAAAAGAUGCUACUUUUCCAAACCUGAUAUCUAGUAGAAGACAGAAGUGCAAGUGCAGAAUAAUGGUGGAAGUUGGGAUUUAGGGAUUUUAGAUUUGGGAUAAAAGGGAGAAUUGGGAAUUUUAGAUUUAGGGGUCGGGUUAUGGCUUUUAGUGGUUAGUAUGAAAUUACAAAUAUGUCAUUAGAUAAAAAUCUAUUAAAAAGAGUAUGUUAAUGCAAUCGGUUCGACUAUUAAUUUUAAAAAUCAAUAAUUG